AUGAACGCUGGCGGCGUGCCUAAUACAUGCCAGUCGAGCGCACAGACGAGGAGCUUGCUCCUCUGACGUUAGCGGCGGACGUGUGAGUAACACGUGGAUAACCUACCUAUAAGACUGGGAUAACUUCGGGAAACCGGAGCUAAUACCGGAUAAUAUAUUGAACCGCAUGGUUCAAUAGUGAAAGACGGUUUUGCUGUCACUUAUAGAUGGAUCCGCGCCGCAUUAGCUAGUUGGUAAGGUAACGGCUUACCAAGGCAACGAUGCGUAGCCGACCUGAGAGGGUGAUCGGCCACACUGGAACUGAGACACGGUCCAGACUCCUACGGGAGGCAGCAGUAGGGAAUCUUCCGCAAUGGGCGAAAGCCUGACGGAGCAACGCCGCGUGAGUGAUGAAGGUCUUCGGAUCGUAAAACUCUGUUAUUAGGGAAGAACAAAUGUGUAAGUAACUAUGCACGUCUUGACGGUACCUAAUCAGAAAGCCACGGCUAACUACGUG
rnacentral:rRNA from 1 species